rnacentral:sRNA from 1 species
GCCGGGCAUGGUGGCGCGCGCCUGUAAUCCUAGCUACUCGGGAGGCUGAGGUAGGAGAAUCGCUUGAACCCAGGAGGCAGAGGUUGCAGUGAGCCAAGAUCAUGCCACUGCACUCCAGCCUGGGUGACAGAGUGAGACUCUAUCUCAA